rnacentral:rRNA from 1 species
UACGUAGGGGGCGAGCGUUGUCCGGAAUUACUGGGCGUAAAGAGAGCGUAGGCGGUUGGAUAAGUCUGAAGUUAAAGGCUGUGGCUCAACCAUAGUAUGCUUUGGAAACUGUUCAACUUGAGUGCAGAAGGGGAGAGUGGAAUUCCAUGUGUAGCGGUGGAAUGCGUAGAUAUAUGGAGGAACACCGGUGGCGAAAGCGGCUCUCUGGUCUGUAACUGACGCUGAGGCUCGAAAGCGUGGGUAGCGAACAGG